rnacentral:rRNA from 1 species
GACAGAGGGGGCAAGCGUUGCUCGGAAUUACUGGGCGUAAAGGGCGCGUAGGCGGACUCUUAAGUCGGGGGUGAAAGCCCAGGGCUCAACCCUGGAAUUGCCUUCGAUACUGAGAGUCUUGAGUUCGGAAGAGGUUGGUGGAACUGCGAGUGUAGAGGUGAAAUUCGUAGAUAUUCGCAAGAACACCAGUGGCGAAGGCGGCCAACUGGUCCGAUACUGACGCUGAGGCGCGAAAGCGUGGGGAGCAAACAGG